rnacentral:rRNA from 1 species
UACGAAGGGGACUAGCGUUGUUCGGAAUUACUGGGCGUAAAGGGUCUGUAGGUGGCCAACUAAGUCAGACGUGAAAUCCCUCAGCUUAACUGGGGAACUGCGUCUGAUACUGGAUGGCUUGAGUGUGGGAGAGGAAUGCGGAAUUCCAGGUGUAGCGGUGAAAUGCGUAGAUAUCUGGAGGAACACCGGUGGCGAAGGCGGCAUUCUGGACCAUAACUGACACUGAGAGACGAAAGCCAGGGGAGCAAACGGG